rfam:Mycosphaerella graminicola IPO323 chromosome 1, whole genome shotgun sequence.
UUCACGGAUGAACCAGAGAUCAAAUCUCUAUAAUCCCAGCUCUUCGAACCCUCACCAUACAACGCAAAGAGGUGUAAUGAGAGGACGUCCUUUCUGAUCA